UCCGGUAGAUCCUGCCGGACCCUACUGCUAUCGGGGUGGGACUAAAACAUGCUAGUCGAGCGUCUCCUAGCCAUGGUGGAGGCGCGGCGUACAGCUCAGUAACACGUGGCUAACCUACCCUUGGGACGGGAACACCCCCGGGAAACCACGCACAGACCUUGACCACAUAAACACAAAUUCUCAAAAAAUCCAAAAACCCCAUAACAUAAACAAACACUUCACUACUCCGCCUUGCCGAUUUCUAAGCUGGCAAAGGCUAUCUCAAACUAACCAAAACCUACACGCAACUUUCUAAGAAUAGAAACUUAAGGCUCUGGCGUAACCCAAAACUGGGGUUAAUUCCCGAUGGGUGAGGAGGCCCGGAAUGGUUCUUCACUGAAAGGGCGCUAGAGGCAUGCUCUCUAACGUUGCCCAAGGAUGGGGCCGCGGCCGAUCAGGUUGUUGGUGAGGUAACGGCUUACCAAGCCUAUAACCGGUACGGGCCGUGAGAGCGGAAGCCCGGAGAUGGGCACUGAGAUAAGGGCCCAGGCCCUACGGGGCGCAGCAGUUGCGAAAACUCCGCAAUGCACGAAAGUGUGACGGGGCUACCCCGAGUGCCGUCCGCUGAAGAUGGCUUUUCUCCGCUGUAAGGAGGCAGAGGAAUAAGGAGAGGGCAAGACUGGUGUCAGCCGCCGCGGUAAUACCAGCUCUCCGAGUGGUAGGGGUGAUUAUUGGGCUUAAAGCGUCCGUAGCCGGCCUGGCAAGUCUUCCGUUAAAUCCAGCAACCUAAUUGUUGGGCUGCGGGGGAUACUGUUAGCUUGGGGGCGGGAGAGGCCGACGGUAUUUCUCGGGGUAGGGGUGAAAUCUUAUAAUCCCGAGAGGACCACCAGUGGCGAAGGCUGUCGGCUAGCACGCGCCUGACGGUGAGGGACGAAAGCUGGGGGAGCGAACCGGAUUAGAUACCCGGGUAGUCCCUGCUGUAAACGAUGCGAGCUAGGUGUUGGGGCGGCUACGAGCCGCUUCAGUGCCGCAGCGAAGGCGUUAAGCUCGCCGCCUGGGGAGUACGGCCGCAAGGCUGAAACUUAAAGGAAUUGGCGGGGGAGCACCACAAGGCGUGAAGCUUGCGGUUCAAUUGGAGUCAACGCCGGGAACCUUACCGGGGGCGACAGCAGGAUGAAGGCCAGGUUGAUGGUCUUGCUGGACGAGCUGAGAGGAGGCGCAUGGCCGUCGUCAGUUCGUGCCGUGAGGCGUCCUCUUAAGUGAGGUAACGGUCGAGACCCGCGCCCUUGUUGCUAACAGACUCCAUCGGGGUCUGUGCACACUAGGGGGACCGCCGUCGAUAAGACGGAGGAAGGAGCGGGCCACGGCAGGUCAGUAUGCCCCGAAUCCCCCGGGCCACACGCGAGCUGCAAUGGCAGGGACAAUGGGUGUCGACUCCGAAAGGAGGAGGUAAUCUCUAAACCCUGCCUCAGUUGGGAUCGAGGGCUGAAACCCGUCCUCGUGAAUAUGGAAUGCCUAGUAAUCGCGCGUCAUCAUCGCGCGGUGAAUACGUCCCCGCUCCUUGCACACACCGCCCGUCGUUCCAUCCGAGUGGGGUUUGGGUGAGGCGUAGUCCUUGGUGGCUGCGUCGAACUCAGGUUCCGCGAGGAGGGAA
rnacentral:rRNA from 1 species